UACGAAGGGGGCUAGCGUUGCUCGGAAUCACUGGGCGUAAAGCGCACGUAGGCGGCUUUUUAAGUCAGAGGUGAAAUCCUGGAGCUCAACUCCAGAACUGCCUUUGAUACUGGAGAGCUUGAGUCCGGGAGAGGUGAGUGGAACUGCGAGUGUAGAGGUGAAAUUCGUAGAUAUUCGCAAGAACACCAGUGGCGAAGGCGGCUCACUGGCCCGGUACUGACGCUGAGGCGCGAAAGCGUGGGGAGCAAAAGGG
rnacentral:rRNA from 1 species